GGAGAGACAAAGUGUUAAUUGCCUGU
rnacentral:piRNA from 1 species